AAUUAAUCUAACGGCUGGACCAAACCCCAUCCCUCUUUCCUUUUAAACCAAAAAGAAAACCCUAAUCCUCACUUUUGGCCAAGGAAUCAGCCGCUCCAUCUUACUCUCUCUUUCUCGCUCCCCCCAUAAACUGACCACCGGCGGCGGACAAUCAAAUGCCACUGCCGCUGUCGCUUGUCACCGACGAGAUCACAAUUGGGAAUAGCUCUUCAACUACCGCCGCUGCAAAUCAUGGGAUUGAGCGAUGUGGAUCUUACAGAUGAUGGCGAUGGAGGAGGAGAUGAUGUUGGUGUUGAAGGCAUCAGCGGUUUAAUUUUUUGUACUUUUUUUUUUUGCAGCCAAGGUUAAGAUUGGAAUCAAUGGUUUUGAAAGAAUUGGUUGAUUGGUGGCCCGGGUAAUUCUUCAAAGGGUUGAUGUUGAGCUCGUUGCUGUUAAGGAUCCCUUCAUCACCGUCGACUACAUGGUUCAUCGCAACUAAUGAUAGUAAUAUGAAUUAAGUUAAGUGCUGCGGCUAGUGGACCCAUUUUGCCCAUGGAUGCAAGAAGACCACGUGAUGAUAGUGAUCCUAAUGAAAGUCGUUGAUUUUAUUGCAAAUUGUCUUGAAUAUUCAAUUAUGAUAAUGUAAUUGUGUGGUUGGAGUGAAUCUUAGAAUAUUGAAGGUUUUGUGUUUAAAUUUAAUUCUGGAAUUUGAAGAUACUAGUUAAUGUUGAAAAUUUGGAGUUUGAAGAUGCU